GGAAGCGGCGGACGGCUCAGGACAACGGUUGCACCCCCCGCGGCGGUCCCUGCUAGCCGGACACCGCUGGCAACCCGGCGCCAAGACGUGCGCGCAAGUGCGGACGCCCGCGGGCGAGCAGCGUGACGCAGCGACGGCCCGCCCGGGCUUCCGGGGCAUCACCCGGUCGGCGCGGUCGCGGCGCGCCGAGGGCCCGACGCCUGGCGGAGAAUCAGGGUUCGA
rnacentral:rRNA from 1 species